rnacentral:rRNA from 1 species
CAUUUCUUACUUGCUAUAAUCGUAAGUAACACCUGCUCAAUGAAUAUUUAAAUAGCCGCGGAAAUUUAACCGUGCUAAGGUAGCGUAAUCAUUAGCCUCUUAAUUAGAGACUUGUAUGAAAGGUGAAACAUUUUAUAUACUUUAUUAAACAAAUAACUCGAACUUAAACUAAGAAUUAAAAUGUUCUUAUAAAUUAAAUAGACGAUAAGACCCUAUUGAACUUUACUUUUGUUAGGCUGGGGCAGCCAAUUAAAAAUAAUUUUUUUUCUUCUCUUUCUAUAAAUGACCCAAACACUUUUGAUUUUAUGAACAAGUUACCAUAGGGAUAACAGCGUAAUUUUUUUUUAAAGUUCUUAUUUAAAGAAAAGAUUGCGACCUCGAUGUUGAAUUAUUAUAUCCUAGAAGAUGCAGUAAUCUUUAAGGUAGGUCUGUUCGACCUUUAAAAUAAUAC